AAUUUUUAUUCAAUGUUGCAAGGCGUUUCUCUUCUUUUCACUGAUGAAAUGAAACGUCCAUGUAGAAGUAAAGCCCAGUUAGCGUCCAUAUAAACCAAAGAGUAAAGUCGUUUCUCUUCAUCGGAGACGCAAAUCCCAGUUAUGCAAGAAGAAAAAUUAUGGAGUUAAAAAAUAAUAAUUCAUCAUCCUCAAAUUCUCCGAGUUUCAGUUCUACCUAUUUAUCCGCCUUUAGGAUACGUAUGACCUAUGCUCAGAGAGAAGAUGAACCUAUCUGCAGAAGGCGGCAGUAGUACCAUCAUCUAUGUAUCCUUUUUUGCAUAUACAGGAUCUCCACAACCAUUUUUUUUUUGGCGAGAAGAACAUAUUGCAUAUCCAGGACGCUAGAGGAAUAAAUAUAUUUCUAAGUCGGGAAUAUAUCUCAGCAUAUCUCACACAAGGGAAAAAUGCAUUGUUUGCUCAUUGGGAUAAAACUGAGUUUUUCUUCCAGAUCGCAUUCUUCUGUCCUUCACAUUUGUUUCACCCGUUAGUUAAUUGUGAUGCGAAUAUAAUGGUCUAAGAAUCUGAUUUUUGUCUGAUUCUUACUAUUUGUUAGUAAUAAGGCCUUGGUAUCCUCGAGUUGAGACUCACAGGGAUCUUUAAUCAUUUUCCCUUUUAUGGUGUGCUAGAAGAAGUCCUUAACUUUCGCCAUAUCAAACGGAAGAGGCACAUAUACUAAAAGUAAACAAUUUUGGGCGGUAGAAAUUUGCAUAAAUGGGUAAUAUUUCAUUAAUUAUUGUUUACUCAAGGCUUCUCAAUAAUUUGUCUUAUGGACGUUUCUUUCCCAGGUUUAGGCUGUCUCCCUUUUUUUUUAAUUCGCCAUAUACAUUCCUUUGUGACCUUUUCUGCAUUUUCGUGCAAUCUUCAGUCAUUAUCCAGAUUAUUUGGCCAUAUAUGGCUGGGUCCAUAAUCCAACUAUUGAAUCCAUAAUGUACUAAACAGGUUGUGUUCCUUUUUUGUGUUUUCUCAGAAAUAUUGAUGGGUAUUUAUCUAAGGAAACCAAAUGUCUCAGAUAUGCCACAUUAAUGGAAUACCUCUACAAUAGUAUCGUGGUGGAGUAGAGAAUGAAGGGCUCCCGGUAAUGGUCCAAAUUUAGUUACUGUGUUUUAGCUCUUUAGGACGUAUAGACUAGGAAAGUUCAAUUUAUAGCGAAAUUUAUUUCUCCUUCAGAAAACCUUUCGUCUUACUUUGACGAUUUUAAAGUAAUCGAAUCAUGAAACAAAAAUGUUCUGCAUUUGACAUUACCGUUAAUGAUAAAAAGUGGAUUUAUUCA